rnacentral:lncRNA from 1 species
CACAGUUAAACAGCAGGAAACUAUUGUUUACAAUAUUCAAAAUAAGGGAACGGGAGUCAUAUACAGGAUGUUAAAGAAAGGUGCCAUGACCAUGUGGGGUGGGUGCUCCUGGCUGGAGGAUGUGAGAAGCUGCACUCACAGAGGAGUUGGGAUGAUGACCAGUGGAUCAGUUGGUGGGUAUAUAUCUCUCUUGUUUGUCUUCUUCAUGAAGCGAGUAGGUUCAUGAAGAUUGAAACUUCAUCUGCAUCCCUGUAAGCAAAUGCUGUGCUCCAAAACAUUGCUAUCCCUGC